rnacentral:lncRNA from 1 species
AUCUCUGCGUCCUGCUCGCCGUCAGCUGCAUCCUGGUCGCCCUCAUCUGCAUCCUGCUCCUCAUCUGUUCCUCUCGUCGUCCGCUCCCUCGUCUUCACGUAACAGAUCUGCUCGCCCUCAUCUGCCUCCAGUUGUCUGGUAAGCUUCGAUUGUUCGAAUUUUUUCGUCGAUUUGGGUCGAUUUGGGCGGAUUUUUUUCGUCGAUUUGGGCGUAUUUGUUUUGGGUUUGAGCUUUAUUUGAUUCUGCAGUUGAACAAAUUUUAGGGUUUUGAUAUUUAGGUGAAAUUGAGAUUAGAAAUUGGGGUUUUCAUAAAGCUUGGACUUUGGGGUUUGAAAUUGACAUUAGAAAUUUGGAAUUUGGGGUUUUCAUAAAGCAGUGUGUGUGUGUUAUUACAAAACAUAGCUUGCUGUUGCUCUGGCCUUCGAUUAAUGGUUGAUUCUGUGGGAUAAGUUUGUAUAUCUUUUGAUUCUGGUUUUCUAGGGUCUGUAGCUUUUAGAUUUUAAUUUCUUAACCAGUCAAUUGUUGAUUUCGAUUGUGCAGUGUGAGUUAUUACAAAACAUUGUUGAGUUAUUUGAUUUAGGUGUGUGUGCAGUGUGUGUGUGUGCAGUGUGUGUGUGAAUGAGUGUGUAUGCAGUGUGUGUGUGUGUGCAGUGUGUGUGUGAAUGAGUGUGUAUGCAGUGUGUGUGUGAAUGAGUGUGUAUGCAGUGUGUGUGUAUGCAGUGUGUGUGUGCAGUGUGUGUGUGCAGUGUGUGUGUGUGUGUGUGUGUGUGUGUGUGUGAGGGUAAGAGUGUGUUGCACUCUGUCCCCGUGUGUGUGUGUGUGUGACAGUGUGUGUGUGUGUGAGUGUAAGUGUGAGUGUGAGUGAGUGUGAGUGUGAGUGAGUGUGAGUGUAAGUAUGAGUGUGAGUGAGUGUGAGUGUGAGUGAGUGCAAGGUGUAUGCAGUGUGUGUGUUUGUUGCACUCUGUCCCCGUGUGUGUGUGUGUGUGACAGUGUGUGUGUGUGAGUGUGAGUGUGAGUGUGAGUGUGAGUGGGUGUGAGUGUGAGUGAGUGUGAGUGUAAGUGUGAGUGUGAGUGAGUGUGAGUGUGAGUGAGUGUGAGUGAGUGUGAGUGUGAGUGUGUGUGCAGUGUGUGUGUGUAUGCAGUGUGUGUGUGUUAGUGUGUUGCAUUCUGUCCCCGUGUGUGUGUGUGUGUGAUUGUGUUUGUGGGUGAGUGUGAGUGUAAGUGUGAGUGUGAGUGUGAGUGUGUGUGCAGUGUGUGUGUGUAUGCAGUGUGUGUGUGAAUCAAGCUGUAUGCAGUGUGUGUGUGAAUGAGUGUGUAUGCAGUGUGUGUGUGUGUGUGUGUGUGUGUGUGUGUGCAGUAUGUGUGUGCAGUGUGUGUGUGUGUGAGUGUGUAUGCAGUGUGUGUGUGUGUGUGCAGUGUGUGUGAAUGAGUGUGUAUGCAAUGUGUGUGUGAAUGACUGUGUAUGCAGUGUGUGUGUGUAUGCAGUGUGUGUGUGCAGUGUGUGUGUGAGGGUAAGAGUGUGUUGCACUUUGUCCCCGUGUGUGUGUGAGUGUGAGUGUGAGUGUGUGUGCAGUGUGUGUGUGAGUGUGUAAGCAGUGUGUGUGUGUGCAGUGUGUGUGUGAAUGAGUGUGUAUGCAGUGUGUGUGUGUGUGUGUGUGUGAGGGUAAGAGUGUGUUGCACUUUGUCCCCGUGUGUGUGUGUGUGUGACUGUGUUUGUGUGUGAGUGUAAGUGAGUGUGAGUGAGUGUGAAUGUGAGUGUGUGUGAGUGUGAGUGUGUGUGCGGUGUGUGCAGUGUGAGUGUGAGUGUGUGUGCAGUGUGUGUGUGUGUGCAGUGUGUGUGUGCAGUGUGUGUGUGUGUGUGUGAGGGUAAGAGUGUGUUGCACUCUGUCCCCGUGUGUGUGUGUGUGACUGUGUUUGUGUGUGAGUGUGAGUGAGUGUGAGUGUGAGUGUGAGUGUGUGUGCAGUGUGUGUGUGUGCAGUGUGUGUGUGUGAAUGAGUGUGUAUGCAGUGUGUGUGUGUGCAGUGUGUGUGUACUGUGUGUGCAAGGUGUAUGCAGUGUGUGUGUUUGUGUACUGUGUAUGCAGUGUGUAUGUAUGCAGGGUGUAUGCAGUGUGUGUAUGUAUGUAUGCACUGUGUGUGUACUUGCAGGGUGUGUGUGGUAGUGUAUGCAGUGUGUGUGUGUGUGUAGUGUAUGUAGUGUGUGUGUAGUGUAUGCAGUGUAUGUAGUGUGUAUGUAUGUACUGUGUUUGCAGUGUGUAUGUAUGUACUGUGUAUACAAUGUGAAUGUUUUGUAUUGUGUGGGGUUGAUGCUGAAUUGCAAUUUGUUGUGGUUGUUGGUUGCAGAGAAGAGGAGCAUAAACGGAAGGCUAAGGCUAAGGCUACUGCAUUACAGGUGUCCUUUAAUU